GGGGAUGUUCUGGUUUUGACAGCACUGACUUUGGAAGGUAAGCACGCCGGGAGUGGAAGGCUGGCCCGUUAAUCCCAGUUUUCAAGCCAUUAACUGGCAACUACAAUUAUUCAUACGCUUGCUAAUUCCCUCAGGGCUCUGGCAUCAAUUCAGGCGCCAAGGUUGCGUUUGAACGUAUAUCCCUCCUGCCAUUAGGCCGGUUCUGGCGGAUCAAGGGGUAUCAUCAAAACCGGAUGCGUGGGGCUGACGCCUCUAUUCCCCAUCAAGACUCAGAGGAUAAGUUUCCGCCAAGGGUGUCCUUUCUCGUACGGAAGCCGACAAUCAAAGAAGGAAUAAGCGUGUAGAAAGCUUUUUGAAGCUUUGUUUGGACUAGGGUUCGACUCCCUACAUCUCCACA
rnacentral:tmRNA from 1 species